UUCUUCUUUUCUCUCUCUAAAAUUCUCAUCCAAAAACGACCACACAAUACAGUAGAGAGAGAAAAUCAAAUCGAAGAUUUUACAGAAGGAUAUCGAGUUUCUUCGGAGACGAAGGGUAGCUUAAUCCUCCAUUCGAUCUCAAAAGGGGAGGUGUGAUUUUUUUAUUUUUUAUUUUAAAAUAAUUUUUGGAUAUGAGAAGAGGCAGAGCAACUCCGGCGGCGGCGGCGGCGGCGGUGAAGCCAGAUGGAUCUGGAGGAUUGAAGGAGAUUAGGUUUCGUGGAGUUCGGAAGAGGCCAUGGGGGAGAUUUGCUGCAGAGAUUAGAGAUCCAUGGAAGAAAACUAGGGUUUGGUUAGGUACUUUUGAUUCAGCUGAAGAUGCUGCCAAAGCUUAUGAUGCUGCAGCUCGAACUCUUCGUGGACCUAAAGCUAAAACUAAUUUCCCUUUACCUAUGUAUUCUCAGCAUCAUCAGUUCAAUCGAAGUUUAAACCCUAAUGAUCGGUUAGUUGACCCGAGAUUGUACUCACAAGAAGCUCCGAUCAUUUGUCAAAGACCUACAUCGAGCAGUAUGAGUAGUACUGUGGAAUCAUUCAGUGGACCGAGACCGCCACGUCAGCAAACGGCGGUUUUGCCUUCGAGAAAACAUCCUAGAUCGCCGCCGGUUGAGCCGGAUGACUGCAGGAGUGAUUGUGACUCAUCGUCUUCUGUUGUUGAAGAUGGUGAUUGUGAAGGGGGAAAUGACAACAUCGUUUCUUCAUCUCUCAGAAAUCCACUGCCUUUCGAUCUCAACUUUCCACCUCCGAUGGAUGAUGUUUAUGCUAAUUCAAAUGAUCUUUACUGCACAGCACUAUGUCUUUGAAGGAAAAUGGUUUCAAAGUUUCAAUCUUUCAAUUAUAUUGAAACACACAAAAAAAAUCACAGAUUUAAAGCAAUUGCUAUGAAUCUGUUGCUGGAAGAGAUUUUAACUCUUCCAUUUACUUAUCCUAUUUAAUGUCAUGGUAUUUCAUGAUAGAUGGAUUAGUGUCUGACAAUUGAUCUGAUUAUGUGUCCUUCAACUAUAUAUGAGUUUUGGGAUAAUGUAGUCUUUUAUUGUCAGAUUUAUAUACAUUAACAUGUAAAAUUAGAGGGAACUUUCAGUUCUGUGUUGUACUAUUACAAUGAUAGCUCUAGUGUCGUUGAUGUAAGACAAUAUCUACUCUUUCAAUCACUUAAUGUAAGAAUCAAGACUUCAUCUAAUCAAAUAUUAGCUUACAUGUGUUCG
rnacentral:misc_RNA from 1 species